rnacentral:lncRNA from 1 species
GCUAACUCACUGUGGGAGCAGAGCCAGUGUCUGGAGUUCAGGUAUGCCCAGAGAGACCAUAGCUCCAUGGCCCAGGGUGUGGACUAGCUCAUUACAGUGGUAGCUGCAGUUUCUGAGGCACAGGUGUGUAUGGUGCAGCCAGAGAGCCAGGUCUGGAGUGCAGACACACGAGAUGCUGCAUCACCUCCAAGAUCUGGGGCUGGCUCACUGUUGAGGUGACUCAGGUAUCAAAGGUAUAGGCACUCAUGGAGCAGCAAUGGAGCUGGUGUCCUUAGUGUGGGUUCACACAGAGAAACCAAGGCUCCAAAACCCAGGGAAGGGCUCAUAUUCAGCAGUAGGAUUGUCAGUGUUUGAGGUGUGGACACAUGCAGUAUGGUUGCAGACCCAAGGACUGGAAUGCAGGUACUUACAUAACAGCUGUGGAGCUGGGGUCUGGAUUACUGACAUACACAAGAGUGACUUAGGUCCAGGGUCUGAAGUACAUGCCAGGUUUGGAAAGGUGGUGGCCCCAGUCCCAGGGCAGCUCAACUGGGUGCUUGUGGAGGGUGGGGGAAGGUGCAAUAUCAUCUCCUUUAUCAGGAGAGGGGAUCAACAACAGGAAUUGCUUUAGUAACCUCAGUAAAGAAAGAUGCCAGUGUCCUCUGCAAAAGCAGCCAUUGGGUACCACAGUGGCACCUCGCAUAUAGUUGAUCCUGAUAGCAUCUCUCUUUUUCUUUGAUCCUAGCCAUCUCUAGACACCUCAGGAUCUCCCCAACAAUCCUUUGUGUACUUAUUCUCCAUUUUUGCUCCACUGUGUUGUUGUAGAUUCUUAAUUGGGCUCUUGAGCCCUCCCCAAGGCUAAUUUUGUUCAUGGAUCACUGCCUAUUUGUUCGUUUUUGUGGGGGGAUGAACACUGGU